UUGGCAGGGGCUGGGGAGGGGCCUUGGGUUUGAUAAAGCUUCAGAGGAGCCAGGCCGGUCCACUGGUCUGGAAAGGAGAAGCCCUGGAGGCCUGCUGUGUCCUGGGGCCCCAACUGUGCGACAGGGCCCGGCCAGGAGACCCCAGGAUUCAGUGCCUGACUACAGAACUCAGCAGGGGGUGGGUGUGACCAGGGUAUCCUGAGCAGCUCGCUGCCAAGUCAGAGCAGCACCAAACCCUCUCCUGUUGGGCCCUGGGGGUGGCAGUCUGACCGGGGGAGGGGGUUCAGGGACUUGCCUUUAGGAACACCUGUCCAAGGAACUCAUGGUUUUUUACUGCGAGGGUGGAUUUAUUUGGAUAGCUUUGGAGGGACUGAGGGAAACCCUUAAGUGGAGCCCCUGCCUGAAGUGCCCAGUGGGCUCUGACCUGUUCAUACAGCCUGGUGUUGCAGGGACGGGAUGAAGCCGUGUCCUCAAGGGAUCCCUACUGCUGGAGUCCCAAAGUGGAUACGAGAGACAGCCCCACCCUCCCUCGGGGCUCAGAUCACACACUGAGGCAGGGAAUAAUAGUGAGCGCUUACCACCUGCCAGGUUCAGGGCUGAGCGGUCCCUGGUCAUUUUUUCCUCCUACUCAUUUGAACCCGACCCUCCUCUAUUGAGAACAGGCUGUGGCUCCCCUUGGAACACAGCACAAACAGACCAGGGUUGGGGUCUUAAUCUCUCCAAGCCCCAGUUUUCUCACCUGCGAAAUGGGGCUCUGUUCAUUCAACCAACCGAGAAUCCACCAGGUACCAAGCUCUUGCUAAGGUAUAGGACCCAUCCCUGCCUCACCUGGAGCCUCUGUAGAGGAGGAGACUGACAGGCGACAAGUCAAUUCACACGUGCCUGUGGCUACAAUAGAGGCCUGCCGCUGCUGUGGUGGGACCUGGAGGUCCAGGAAGCCCCUCUGGCAAAGGGACUUCUAAGCCGAAAGCUGGAAGAGGAACAGGAGCUCAUGGGGUGGGACUGUAUCAGGGCAAGAGGGGGUGUUGCUGCCAUCACCGCAGAAGAGAUGCUACAUCCUGGGCACAGUGGAGAUGUAUUUGGGAGGUGGAAUCUAGACACUGGGUGAGUGGCCGGUACCCGACAGGCAGGUGGCGCGAAUGGCUCAGGGAGCCUGGCCUGAGCCCGAGGGUGGGUGAGGAAGGUGGCGGAGAGGGAGAUGCUGGGAAGAUUCUGGGGUUCUGUUUGGGCCCUUGCUUGAGUUUGAGAUGCUUGUGUCAUCCAGAUAGAGACAUCUCAACCCGGCGGUCUAGAGCUCAGACAGAACGUCUGGCCCAAAGACACAGACUUGGGGUCCGCAGCAUACAGGGGCAUCGAUGGCCAUGGGAAAGGAUGGGCUCAGCCUGGGAGAGAAGAGGGCCCUGGGUCAACCAGGGAGGUCCCCACUCCCAGGUCAGGGAGAGGAGGCAGAGUCGGAAGUGACUCACAAAGAGCAGCAGGAGGGAGCACGGAGGAAAGAUUGAGAGCAGUGUUUGGGAGGAGUGUGUGGCCAGCAGUGUCCCCUGCUGCCGAAAGCAGGAGGGGGUGGUGACCACCCUUCUUCAGGGGCUGCUGAGGGGACUCAGUGACUUAAGGCAGCGAAAGCAAGCACUCUAUCCAGUACCGGGCACAUUCUGAGUGCUUAGUAAAUGUUAUCUGUCAUCAUCACCAAACUCCUUAAGCUCAGUGGGGAGCCAGCAGGGAACAGAGGACACCUGCAUGUGGGUGAUUGAGGGGGCUGGAUGGGAGGGACCACUUACAGAGGGCAAGGAGACCACCAGGGGCAACAGAGGGAAGCCCUGGCCGCUGAAGGGACUUGGGGGUGGGGGGGACCCACUACCCCACUAACCUAAGCCUGGAGCCACAAGAGCUGGGGCUGGGGCCUGCAGCAGAGACCCUGGGCACCAGAGAGGGGGCUGGGCUGAGGCCAUAUUACUCUGGUCUCCUCUUGUCCUGCUGGGCCUCCCAGGGGCUGAGCCCCCAAAGCAGCCUGUGGGCAGGGGCCCCUGGGAGGUUUCAGCACAUGAGGUUGGUCAUGGAGCAAGGAGGACAAAGAGGCAGAGUGGACCAGCAGGGUAGACUUUGACAGUCCAGCUCUUGGGGCCUGCCCCUGUCUAGCCUCAUCUCCUGCAUCGCUAUUCCCAGCACCCCAUCUCCCUAGAAUCCACCAGCAUGCUUCCCUGCCUCCUGGAUAGAGUUCU
ensembl:lncRNA